rnacentral:rRNA from 1 species
UGCAGAGGUCUCGAGCGUUGUUCGGAUUCAUUGGGCGUAAAGGGUGCGUAGGUGGCGGGGUAAGUCAGGUGUGAAAUUUCGGAGCUUAACUCCGAAACUGCAUUUGAUACUGCCUUGCUUGAGGACUGGAGAGGAGACUGGAAUUCACGGUGUAGCAGUGAAAUGCGUAGAGAUCGUGAGGAAGACCAGUGGCGAAGGCGGGUCUCUGGACAGUUCCUGACACUGAGGCACGAAGGCCAGGGGAGCAAACGGG